GAAGAAAGAUGUAUACGUUCUUUAAACCACAGAGUGGAAGUGAGGACUACGUGUUUUCUUGCUUUUCAGCACGAAGUUCUGUAAUUUCAGAUACCGGGUGGCCUGAAGGUAUAUUACACUUAUUCUGCAAGUUGGAAAUUGAAACACAAAAAAAGAAAGUUCUGGAGUUUCCACACAUUUUUGAUAAGAACAGCCUUCAAGUAUCCCAGUCUACUGAGAUCAGUGGGAAAGUCUGGAGCAAGAACUUAUCGAUGGUGGAGAAUGAUUACAGGAGAAAGACUUUCAAUAAACCGGGCAUGUAUAAUUCCACGGUACCUGACAGUUUGCCCCCAUGAAUGCUGCAGGAGCUGAUGUCACUGCGAGGUCACUCUCAGUAAUCUUUGAAAAGUCACGGGGGAAGAUUCUUAUUGACUGGAAGAAUGCAAAUGCCACUUCUAUUUCAGAGAAGGGCAAGAAGGAAGAUUUCAGAAACUACAGGAGAAAAAGGCAGUUGGAAGAAGCAGACAUUGAACAACAUGAAGGACCGGAGCAGUUCUACAUCUCUACGUCAUCUGUUUGUAGAGAAAUAUCAUCUCACCACAUAUCUAACCAAUAGAUAACAACUUUCCAGCUCAAAGCCCUUUACAACUGUGAUUUCUGUGGUCUACUGUCCUAUCUGCUUUGGAGGUGGUGUUCAGUGGUUGCAGCACACACCAAUGUCCUCGGAGUUUCCUUGGAGCACAGCCCUGGACUCUCUGUGUGGCAGAGCUGUGCUGUAGGCAGC
ensembl:lncRNA